AAGUUCAUGUUUAUGUUAAACAGAUCUACUAGUUAAACACAUACUUUCAACUUCCUCUUGCUGAGGUGAGAGGGUUUUCUGAUAAGAUUUACUCUUGGUAUGAGCUGAUAGGUUGUCAGGUUACAGCUAGAGCCAGCAGAACUCAGUAGGAACAUAUGCAAACCAUGGGCUGCCAUGCACACUGGACCCCUCACCCUAAGCCCUAGGAACUGGAGGGGCAGUCAGCUUGUUGUUAUGUUUUAUGUUUUGUUUUUGGUCAUGUUUAUCUCCUCUCUGCUGUAUGUGUGGUCACAAGGUUUUCUGUUUCACUCUCUAGAUACGGCACCCGUAACCAUGAUGUUUUUAAGAAACAGGGAAUUCCUGGGCCCAAACCUCUGCCAUUUUUAGGAACUCUGCUGAAUUACUAUGAGGGUAUAUGGAAAUUUGAUGUUAAGUGCUAUAAAAA